rnacentral:rRNA from 1 species
GACGAACGCUGGCGGCGUGCCUAAUACAUGCAAGUAGAACGCACAGUUUAUACCGUAGCUUGCUACACCAUAGACUGUGAGUUGCGAACGGGUGAGUAACGCGUAGGUAACCUGCCUGGUAGCGGGGGAUAACUAUUGGAAACGAUAGCUAAUACCGCAUAAUAUUAAUUAUUGCAUGAUAAUUAAUUGAAAGGUGCAAUUGCACCACUACCAGAUGGACCUGCGUUGUAUUAGCUAGUAGGUGAGGUAACGGCUCACCUAGGCGACGAUACAUAGCCGACCUGAGAGGGUGAUCGGCCACACUGGGACUGAGACACGGCCCAGACUCCUACGGGAGGCAGCAGUAGGGAAUCUUUGGCAAUAGACGAAAGUCUGACCGAGCAACGCCGCGUGAGUGAAGAAGGGUUUCGGAUCGUAAAGCUCUGUUGUAAGAGAAGAACGGGUGUGAGAGUGGAAAGUUCACACUGUGACGGUAUCUUACCAGAAAGGGACGGCUAACUACGUG